rnacentral:rRNA from 1 species
CCUACGGGAGGCAGCAGUGAGGAAUAUUGGUCAAUGGUCGGGAGACUGAACCAGCCAAGCCGCGUGAGGGAUGAAGGUACAGAGUAUCGUAAACCUCUUUUGUCAGGGAACAAAGGCGGGGACGUGUCCCCGGAUGAGUGUACCUGAAGAAAAAGCAUCGGCUAACUCCGUGCCAGCAGCCGCGGUAAUACGGAGGAUGCGAGCGUUAUCCGGAUUUAUUGGGUUAAAAGGGUGCGCAGGCGGUCUGUUAAGUCAGCGGUAAAAGCCCGGGGCUCAACCCCGGCCCGCCGUUGAAACUGGCAGUCUCGAGUUGGAGAGAAGUAUGCGGAAUGCGCGGUGUAGCGGUGAAAUGCAUAGAUAUCGCGCAGAACUCCGAUUGCGAAGGCAGCAUGCCGGCUCCACACUGACGCUGAGGCACGAAAGCGUGGGUAUCGAACAGGAUUAGAUACCCUAGUAGUC